AUGGCGGGCGCCCCUCCCCCAGCCUCGCUGCCGCCUUGCAGUUUGAUCUCGGACUGCUGUGCUAGCAAUCAGCGAGACUCCGUGGGCGUAGCACCCUCCGAGCCAGGUGCGGGAUAUAAUCUGGUGGUGCACCGUUUUUUAAGCUGGUCCGAAAAGCGCAGUAUUCGGGUGGGAGUGACCCGAUUUUCCAGGUAUUCUCCACUGGUUGAAUGCAAAUGGAAGCCAGAGGAAAAGGGAACCCUUGACACAGUUUUCAUAUAGAUUGGCCUCCAGGGCAGACAGCAGGAGUGGGGUUUAAUCUGGACUGAAUUGGAGGAAAGGAACUGGCACCAGAGUGGAGGCUGGAAGGAUGGUGGAACUGACACUGGGACAGAACACAGAAAACAGAAUCUAAUGCUAUUGCUCUGGCUAUAUCAAAUAAAAGUGUCAAGAGUGAGCAUCCUUGCCUUGUGCUGAAUCACAAAGGAAUACCUUUCAGUUUUUCUCCAUUGAUUAUGAUAGCAGUGGGCUUUUCACAGUGGGCUUUACUGUGUUGAGGAGGAGGUCUGAUGGCCGGGAGGACAGGAAGAAGGAACCCACAAUGAAGCAAAAGUUGCGUUUAACUCUGUCCUCACCAUUCCUCUCCUGGACCUGUCCUAAACUGGAAGCUGGGGGAGGAUGGAGUGCUGGAAUGCUGCAGAAGUCUCAUGGGAGGGCGCCUGGUGUUCACCACAUGUGUACACUGUUGCACGACCAG
rnacentral:lncRNA from 10 species